GCAAUUAAGAAUAAGUUAUAUCGGAGCUCGUCGACGAAAACCGUGUUCCUUGCCGGUAACGGUAUCUUCCAGUUUCGGCUGCUUCGCUCGCCGUGAUGCUGUUCCUUAACGAAACGUAAUUGUCUGGAAUGUGGCCACGAAAACGAGGUAGAAAGGAACACAGGGCAACUGAGAUUUCAGCGAGUUCACUGCUCGCCCGAACGGGAAAUUCUCCGGCGUUCGUGGUUAAGUGUAACGAUAUUCGACGCAGCGAGAUUUUGUAGGUUAUGUGAUUCUCGAGGACCAAAAAUCGCGUUUGAAUAUGUGAUAGUUUCGGUACACAUUGGGAUUACAGGUUUAUAAUUAACGAUCGAGAGUGAGUGUCCAGAGGAUACGUGAUGCAGCUCGCCUUAAUUCUCGCCCCAAUUCUUAUCCGAUGUUUAUAUAAACAUUCUUUCUCGGAAUUAUGUAUGUAUAAUUGACUGGAAAGUUCCAUGGGGAAGUAAAGAGGAUCGACGGUGGCGCCACAGACUCGAAAAAUUGCUGACUCAGCAGUGUUUUCAUGCAAGUUCAUCCGGUGCGAAAAGUUAGUUGCUGCGGAACAGUAAUAGCGCUAUAGUUCGUGUCGUUUACUGCUUCUCCGAAGAAGAAAGUAUGGAACAUAAUUGAACAAACAGUUUUCAAUUCGAUUAUACUGAGAAAAUAUUCUUCGGUGACGCGUAUACGGGGUUUUACCGCCACGCGGCCAUUGCUUGCUUCUCUAGCCUCGACAGUGCCGUAGCUACGCGUCAGUGCCAAGUGCA